rnacentral:rRNA from 1 species
UGAGGAACAUGACCUUCGGCGGGGGAUAGCCGGCCCAACGGCCGGGUAAUACCGCGUACGACCACAUGGGGACAUCCCUGAGUGGUGAAAGCAGCAAUGCGCCGAUGGAGUGCCUCGCGGCCUAUCAGCUAGUUGGUGAGGUAACGGCUCACCAAGGCGGCGACGGGUAGCUGGUCUGAGAGGAUGGCCAGCCACAUUGGGACUGAGACACGGCCCAGAUCCCUACGGGG